GAGCACGAAGGAAGACAGUAACAGAGAAAGAUUUUCUUGAUGCAGUGAACAAAGUAAUUAAAGGAUACCAGAAGUUCAGUGCGACACCGAAGUACAUGGUCUACAAUUAACAGUAUUGUUUCUUUAUGUUGAACAAAUUUAGUACUGGUUAUAAAUCCUACCCAAGUGGUGAUGAUCUGAACUAAGGGCUGUUUCGUUGACUUUUAUCUUUUGUUGUUUGGGCGUCAAGCUUUGCGUAAUUCAUACCUCUGGAUGCUGUGCCAAUGAUAAUGUAUUACAGUAAGCCACCGUUUAAGUUAAAUUCCUUUCUGCUCUGGGCACGCCUUUUAUGAUGCUUUUUUUUUUGGCACUUCAAAAAUGAUGG
rnacentral:misc_RNA from 1 species